CCGCCGAUGGCUGGGGGCAGCCGGCAAUGUGGCUGGCGACACGAGCGGCCAUCGACUGCGCCCGCGAGUUCGGGCUCGGCUCGGCGGUC
rnacentral:tRNA from 1 species